AUCUAGCUGACGAGUUUCAAAUAGGACAAAACGCGAGUUCUAGAU
rfam:Schistosoma mansoni strain Puerto Rico chromosome 6, complete genome